rnacentral:rRNA from 1 species
GACGAACGCUGGCGGCGUGCUUAACACAUGCAAGUCGAACGGAAAGGCCCUGCUUUUGUGGGGUGCUCGAGUGGCGAACGGGUGAGUAACACGUGAGUAACCUGCCCUUGACUUUGGGAUAACUUCAGGAAACUGGGGCUAAUACCGGAUAGGAGCUCCUGCUGCAUGGUGGGGGUUGGAAAAUUUCGGCGGUUGGGGAUGGACUCGCGGCUUAUCAGCUUGUUGGUGGGGUAGUGGCUUACCAAGGCUUUGACGGGUAGCCGGCCUGAGAGGGUGACCGGCCACAUUGGGACUGAGAUACGGCCCAGACUCCUACGGGAGGCAGCAGUGGGGAAUAUUGCACAAUGGGCGGAAGCCUGAUGCAGCAACGCCGCGUGCGGGAUGACGGCCUUCGGGUUGUAAACCGCUUUCGCCCGUGACGAAGCGUGAGUGACGGUAAUGGGUAAAGAAGCACCGGCUAACUACGUG